GCGGAUGUGGCGAAAUUGGUAGACGCACCAGAUUUAGGUUCUGGCGGAAGACCGUGGGGGUUCGAGUCCCUCCAUCCGCACCA
rnacentral:tRNA from 1 species